rnacentral:miRNA from 1 species
CUACUUAGGUUGGUGCAAAAGUAAUCGCGGGUUUUGCCAUUACUUUUACAUUACUUUUAAUACCAAAAACCGAGAUUACUUUUGCACCAGCCUAAUACUUCUA